UGAGUACGAUGCUCUACGGAGCAGAAGUGUGUGACGUCAGGCUUCCUAGAAAAUCCCGGACCACGUUAAUCCACAUCACCCGUACCCGAAACCGACACAGGUAGGAUGGUUGAGAAUACUAAAGGGCGCGAGAUAACUCUCUCUAAGGAACUCGGCAAAAUGGCCCCGUAACUUCGGGAGAAGGGGUGCCCACGCAAGUGGGUCGCAGUGAAGAGUCCCAGGCGACUGUUUACCAAAAACACAGGUUUCCGCAAAGUCGCAAGACGAAGUAUGGGAGCUGACGCCUGCCCAGUGCCGGAAGGUUAAGGAAGUUGGUCAGCCCUUGAGGUAAAGCUGACGACCGAAGCCCCGGUGAACGGCGGCCGUAACAAUAACGGUCCUAAGGUAGCGAAAUUCCUUGUCAGGUAAGUUCUGACCCGCACGAAAGGCGUAACGAUCUGGGAGCUGUCUCGGAGAGAGGCUCGGCGAAAUAGGAUUGUCUGUGAAGAUACGGACUACCUGCACCUGGACAGAAAGACCCUAUGAAGCUUUACUGUAGCCUGGAAUUGGGUUCGGGCUUUAACUGCGCAGGAUAGGUGGGAGACUAUGAAGCAAUGCUUGUGGGCAUUGCUGAGUCGCUGGUGAGAUACCACUCUGUUAAAGCUAGAAUUCUAACCUUCACCCGUUAUCCGGGGAGGGAACAGUUUCAGGUGGGCAGUUUGACUGGGGCGGUCGCCUCCCAAAUGGUAACGGAGGCGCGCAAAGGUUCUCUCAGACUGGUUGGAAAUCAGUCGUCGAGUGUAAAGGUAUAAGAGAGCUUGACUGUGAGACGUACAUGUCGAACAGGGACGAAAGUCGGCCUUAGUGAUCCGACGGUAGUGAGUGGAAGCGCCGUCGCUCAACGAAUAAAAGUUACUCUAGGGAUAACAGGCUGAUCUCCCCCAAGAGUUCACAUCGACGGGGAGGUUUGGCACCUCGAUGUCGGCUCGUCGCAACCUGGGGCGGUAGUACGUCCCAAGGGUUGGGCUGUUCGCCCAUUAAAGCGGCACGCGAGCUGGGUUCAGAACGUCGUGAGACAGUUCGGUCCAUAUCCGGUGUAGGCGUAGGAGUAUUGAGAGGAGCCUUCUUUAGUACGAGAGGACCGAGAAGGACGCACCUCUGGUGUACCUGUUAUCGUGCCAACGGUAAACGCAGGGUAGCCAUGUGCGGAGUGGAUAACCGCUGAAAGCAUCUAAGUGGGAAGCCCACCUCAAGAUGAGUACUCCCAUGGGGUUAACCCAGUAAGGUCACGGGAAGACCACCCGUUUAUAGGUUCUAGAUGGAAGUCCAGCAAUGGAUGAAGUCGAGGAAUACUAAUAGACCGAGGGCUUGUCAAA
rnacentral:rRNA from 1 species